rnacentral:rRNA from 1 species
AUUGAACGCUUGCGGCAUGCCUUACACAUGCAAGUCGAACGGUAACGGGUACUUCGGGAUGCCGACGAGUGGCGAACGGGUGAGUAAUAUAUCGGAACGUGCCCAGUAGUGGGGGAUAACUGCUCGCAAGAGCAGCUAAUAACGCAUACGACCUGAGGGUGAAAGGGGGGGAUCGCAAGACCUCUCGCUAUUGGAGAGGCAGAUAUCAGAUUAGCUAGUUGGUGGGGUAAAGACCUCGCAAGGCAACGACCUGUAGUUGGUCUGAGAGGACGUCCAGCCACACUGGGACUGAGACACGGCCCAGACUCCUACGGGAGGCAGCAGUGGGGAAUUUUGGACAAUGGGCGCAAGCCUGAUCCAGCAAUGCCGCGUGCAGGAAGAAGUCCUUCGGGUUGUAAACUGCUUUUGUCAGGGAAGAAAUCUUCUGGGCUAAUACCCCGGGAGGAUGACGGUACCUGAAGAAUAAGCACCGGCUAACUACGUGCCAGCAGCCGCCGUAA